rnacentral:rRNA from 1 species
UACGGGGGGGGCAAGCGUUGUUCGGAAUUACUGGGCGUAAAGGGCUCGUAGGCGGCCAACUAAGUCAUACGUGAAAUCCCUCGGCUUAACCGGGGAACUGCGUCUGAUACUGGAUGGCUUGAGUUCGGGAGAGGGAUGCGGAAUUCCAGGUGUAGCGGUGAAAUGCGUAGAUAUCUGGAGGAACACCGGUGGCGAAGGCGGCAUCCUGGACCGGCACUGACGCUGAGGAGCGAAAGCCAGGGGAGCAAACGGG